rnacentral:rRNA from 1 species
AAUCAACGCUGGCGGCGUGCCUCAGACAUGCAAGUCGAACGAUUAAGACUUCCUUCGGGAAGUGCAUAAAGUGGCGCACGGGUGAGUAACACGUAAGUAAUCUACCCUCGAGUGGGGAAUAACGUUCGGAAACGGACGCUAAUACCGCAUAACGCAGCGGCACCGCAAGGUGACAGUUGUUAAAGGAGUAAUUCGCUUGAGGAGGAGCUUGCGGCAGAUUAGCUUGUUGGUAAGGAACGGCUUACCAAGGCUACGAUCUGUAUCCGGUCUAAGAGGACGGUCGGACACACUGACACUGAAUAACGGGUCAGACUCCUACGGGAGGCAGCAGUCGGGAAUUUUGGGCAAUGGGCGAAAGCCUGACCCAGCAACGCCGCGUGAAGGAUGAAGUAUUUCGGUAUGUAAACUUCGAAAGAAUGGGAAGAAUAAAUGACGUACCAUUUA